UACGUGAGGGGCGAACGUUGUUCGGUGUCACUGGGCUUAAAGGGCGCGUAGGUGGCUGUGCAAGUAAGGUGUGAAAGCCCUCGGCUUACCCGGGGAAGUUGCGCCUUAAACUGCAUGGCUUGAGGGUCGUCAGGGGAUAGGGGAACUCCAGGUGUGAGCGGUGAAAUGCGCAGAGUAUACUGGGGGGAAGGCCGGCGGCGAAAGGCGCCUGAUCUGGGAGAUACCGUGACACUGAGGCGCGAAAGCGUGGGGAGCAAACAGG
rnacentral:rRNA from 1 species